GUUUGGCGUGCCCACUAGAGAAUGUGCCAGCACUCUUUGAUGAUCGCGAAUGCGUCGCCUAGUACUCUUCCCAUGGCUCCAUUGAGUCUUGCCUCGAAUGAUUCCCUACAAUUGAUAAUUCAGAAAUGUAUUUCAUAUACUACAUAGACCUGAGCUCAAUAUUGGCAUGAUCUAUGAAAAAUUCACUUUGCCUCAGUUCGCAGGAAUCUUGUGUAAUCACCGUUGGUAAGGUUAAACCCUGCGGGUUAUGCGCUCAAGA